UUGACCUCGAAUCAGGUAGGAAUACCCGYUGAACUUAAGCWUAUCAAUAAGCGGAGGAAAAGAAACCAACCGGGAUUACCUCAGUAACGGCGAGGGAAGCGGCAAAGGAAUUA
rnacentral:rRNA from 1 species